AUACGGAGGGUGCGAGCGUUAAUCGGAAUUACUGGGCGUAAAGCGUGCGUAGGCGGUUCGUUAAGUCAGAUGUGAAAGCCCUGGGCUCAACCUGGGAACUGCAUUUGAAACUGGCGGACUAGAGUUUAGUAGAGGGGAGUGGAAUUUCAGGUGUAGCGGUGAAAUGCGUAGAUAUCUGAAGGAACACCAGUGGCGAAGGCGACUCCCUGGACUAGAACUGACGCUGAGGUACGAAAGCGUGGGUAGCAAACAGGAUUAGAUACCCUGGUAGUCCACGCCGUAAACGAUGUCAACUAGCCGUUGGCUCUCUUAGAGAGUUAGUGGCGCAGCUAACGCAUUAAGUUGACCGCCUGGGGAGUACGGCCGCAAGGUUAAA
rnacentral:rRNA from 1 species